rnacentral:lncRNA from 1 species
UUUGCUGACUGACUGGUACACUUCCCAAUAUCACCAUUUGCUCAACAAGUAAUAUAGGUCAGGUCCACCUUAGAACUCUCAUCUAAGGCAUCUAUAGCACUUUUCUAGCAAGGCCAAAUUUACAUUUUAUUAGAAUAGAUGUCUACUUCCAUGGUAUCAUCCUCGGGGAAUUCUUUUUCAUCUUUUUCAUCUGUGGUUGAUGCUAUUAGUCUGAUUAGGACCAACUUUUUAGCAGAAACUAGGAGCUAUAAGGUAGAAAGGGUAGGCUACCUACCCAGGGAGGGACACAAAGGGUUACAGUUUCUCAGCACUCCAGGCAGACCACUGUGUGUGUUGGGUAGAGAAGGGGGUUGGAGAUGUUCUCUUAGUCUGUGGGGUCCUCAUGGAAGUUGAGUCCAUCCUCAGUUGGUCAAAGGAGAAACUUUUUCCAUCCUGAGUCUGAGUAGGUACAGUGAGAAUGGCACAGACCAGAUGAGUAUCUCAUUUUUUCAGAUAACUCCAGAGAUACACCUUUGUGUCCCUACUAUUUACAGGGCCACAGUCUUGAGGGUGCAGACAUGACUCUUAUGAAGAAUGCUCAGACAUCUAGGGCCAGUCAAUAUAGCCCCAAGUCAUCCAGCAAUUCUUUACAUAUAUAUAUAGGUCAACAACUCUCAGGAUAUCGCUUCACUGAGGUUGUGGUGCAGCCACAGAAUAGUGUAGCCAUCAUUGGUCACCUCUCUGACUAGGCACCACGCAGGCUCAUGAAGCUAAAUCCUUGUUGAAAAAAGUUCUUCACGCAGCAAACAGUCAAAGAAGAAUGCAAAGUUCUACAUAAUGAAGUGCUACUUUGGAUAUGAACAAGUGCCCAGGAUGUGUCAGGUGCCAGACUGGCCCAGAGAUUGCAAGAGCACUGGCUAUACUGGAGGCUCCAGGAUAGAGUCAAGACUAUCUGCAGUCCCAAAGCCAAGGCCAAGGGUCCUCCAUCCUAGCAUUUGGCCUUGGAUGGAUCUGAAGACAAUGAUUUUGAGGAUGCUGGCAUUGCUACCCAUGAAAUGAACUCAAAGGUCAUGUGUGAUCCCCAAAAUAUCUUCACAUUUUGUGAAUCUGUUUGCAUUUACGUGUUUAUGUCUUGUUUCUACAAACAGAUGGUAAACUUCUUGAGGAUAGGCAUUUUUGUGUGAGCAUAAUGCCUUGAACCUAAUAGGCCCUAAUGAAGUCUUGUUGAAUUACUAGGCCUGUACCUUCAGAUAGCUUUCAAUGGACAGAUGCCAGAAGGUUGGAGGGAGAGUCGCCAAAUAAACACUGGCUAUUUCUAGAGGAAAACUCUGUAGAUGGUUAGGCACCUAUGAGUGGGCUGGAAGCAAAGAAAAGAUGGAGGCCCUGCCUUUGAGGAACUUAGGACCCUCUUCCAAAGCCUGAGAGAGAGAGAGAAAACUCACACCAAGAACAUAGAUGAAGGCUGGCUUGUCAACAGGUCAACAUAGGAAGACUCGGGAGGAGAGCCCCAGCUCAGAACAGAAGAUCUACCCAAAUCAAUUUUCCAGAGAGCUGAAAUGCCUCUGUUGACCGUGUUGGAUGAUGGUGUUUCUGGAAAACAUUCCAGUCUUACCUCUGAGAAAAGCAGGGUACAGUGAACCUGUUUUAAGCCUGUCUUGUAGGUUCAGAGUGGGACCUGGAAGGCUCUUGUUUGUGCAGGAAUAUUUGCCCCUGUGCCCAAUGGUCCCAGAUGGACAUGUUUUUCAAAUCAAUCAUUCCUCUUGCAUUUUCUUACUGUUCCUAUCUGUUCCUAUUUGUUGCAUAUUUCUGCUUCCUUAUUUUAUAUAUACUCAGACAAGGGAGAGCUAAGGGGAAGCUCGUUCCUGUCAGCUAGCCAACUUUUAUUCAUUUCUCAGGUAGCUUAAAAUCGUUUCUUCUGGGAAGAUUUCCAAGCCUCCCAAACUGAGGUGGGACUCAGUCUGAGGAAGAUUAGCCCUGAGCUAACAUCUGCUGCCAAUCCUCCUCUUUUUGCUGAGGAAGACUGGCCCUGAGCUAAUAUCAGUGCCCAUCUUCCUCUAUGUUAUACGUGGGACGCCUACCACAGCAUAGCUUGCCAAGUGGUGCCAUGUCUGCACCCGGGAUCCGAACCGGUGAACACCAGGCCGCCAAAGAGGAAUGUGCGCACUUAACCACUGCACCACCGGGCUGGCCCAGUGCACGUGGAGCCCAAGAUGCUCAUCACUCCUCACUUCUGCAAUGAAAGACCAGUUGCAUACCUUCCAAGGCCUAGAGACCGUUGAAUGUGAGCUCCAUGGGAACCGAGAUGUUUUCUGUUUUCAACCUGCUGUAUCCCCACUGGCUUGCACAGCACCUGGCCCUUCGUGAAAGCUCAAGACAUAUUUGUUCAAUAAAUUGUUGAAUGGCUGUGGCGAUCAGGCUAAUACUUGUUUGAGUCUGAGAAGCAGUGAGGUGUAGCCAGGAAAGAGCUGAACUAGAAGUCAAGAAAUCCAGGUUCACCUUCCGCCUCUGUCAUCAGCCACCACAUACCUCACUCCUACCAUCUGUAAGAGUAUUGUGGAGAGGAUGAGAGAAGAAGUGGAAAUGACUCACUUCAGUAAGAAGGUUGGAUGUGUGGAGGAGUGGAGAUGGUUGGGAGUCCAUGAUGUCUGUCUGGACAAACAGACUGAGCUAUCCUUACGCAGAUGUGAGCACUGAACUUCUGAAAAUAUGAUUGUGCUCAGAGCCCCAAGAACUUUGAGAAGGAAAG